UCCCUGAUAGCACAGUCGGUAAAGAAUCUGCCUGCAGUGCAGGAGACCCUGGUUCAAUUCCUGGGUCAGGGCA
rnacentral:tRNA from 1 species